AUAUAAUGGGAGCAGCAG
rnacentral:misc_RNA from 1 species